GACGAACGCUGGCGGCGUGCUUAACACAUGCAAGUCGAACGGAAAGGCCCUGCUUUUGUGGGGUGCUCGAGUGGCGAACGGGUGAGUAACACGUGAGUAACCUGCCCUUGACUUUGGGAUAACUUCAGGAAACUGGGGCUAAUACCGGAUAGGAGCUCCUGCUGCAUGGUGGGGGUUGGAAAGUUUCGGCGGUUGGGGAUGGACUCGCGGCUUAUCAGCUUGUUGGUGGGGUAGUGGCUUACCAAGGCUUUGACGGGUAGCCGGCCUGAGCGGGUGACCGGACACAUUGGGACUGAGAUACGGCCCAGACUCCUACGGGAGGCAGCAGUGGGGAAUAUUGCACAAUGGGAGGAAGCCUGAUGCAGCAACGCCGCGUGCGGGAUGACGGCCUUCGGGUUGUAAACCGCUUUCGCCUGUGACGAAGCGUGAGUGACGGUAAUGGGUAAAGAAGCACCGGCUAACUACGUG
rnacentral:rRNA from 1 species